AGUGAACGCUGGUGGUAGGCCUAACACAUGCAAGUCGAACGGCAGCACAGUAAGAGCUUGCUCUUACGGGUGGCGAGUGGCGGACGGGUGAGGAAUACAUCGGAAUCUACUUUUUCGUGGGGGAUAACGUAGGGAAACUUACGCUAAUACCGCAUACGACCUACGGGUGAAAGCAGGGGAUCUUCGGACCUUGCGCGAUUGAAUGAGCCGAUGUCGGAUUAGCUAGUUGGCGGGGUAAAGGCCCACCAAGGCGACGAUCCGUAGCUGGUCUGAGAGGAUGAUCAGCCACACUGGAACUGAGACACGGACCAGACUCCUACGGGAGGCAGCAGUGGGGAAUAUUGGACAAUGGGCGCAAGCCUGAUCCAGCCAUACCGCGUGGGUGAAGAAGGCCUUCGGGUUGUAAAGCCCUUUUGUUGGGAAAGAAAAGCAGCAGGCUAAUACCCCGCUGUUCUGACGGUACCCAAAGAAUAAGCACCGGCUAACUUCGUG
rnacentral:rRNA from 1 species